CAUCUACUUCCUCCGUUCCGAAUUACUUGUCUUGGAUUUGUCUAGAUACGGAUGUAUCUAGACUCAUUUUAGUGCUAGAUACCUCCGUAUCUAGACAAAUCCAAGACAAGUAAUUCGGAACGGAGGGAGUAACAC
rnacentral:pre_miRNA from 1 species